rnacentral:tRNA from 1 species
UUCAGAAUAGCUUAAACAAAAGCAUUGAUUUUGUAAUUCAAAGAUAAUUAAAAUUUUCUGAA